CACAUUCCAUUGUGUCAGUGAAGUAAAUAACAAUACCUGUGAUGGCUGGGUUAGAAAUGAUACACAGAGGACCAUAUGGCCGUGCACUCAUGAGAGAGAAAUGAUUGGUGGUGAGUUUCAUCUGAAGGUCACCACAUUGCAGGCAAGGGACAUUUUUGGGAAGAUGGUAUAAUCUCAGCCAGAGCAGGAAUUGAAACUGCACUGUUGGCAUAAGUCUGCAAACCAGCUGUCCAGCCAACUGAACGAACUGACUCCCUGCUGUAGCAAUAUCGUAAAAGCAAAACCUAAACCUGGAAAUGGACACAAAUGCACUACAUCCAUUGCAAGGAAGCAGGAGAAACCUGAAGGUGGGACAUCACACACAACCCAGCACAGCUACCAAGGCAGGGGGGGUCAUCCUUAAAGUAAAUGGCACAUCUCGGUCAAAGAUGGAGAAACAGGACUAUCAUUGAAAAGUGCUAGAGGCCCAUCAUGAACUUAGUCACAUAUUCAGAGGAAACGCAUGUGUACUUUCGAAAACAGCAGAGAGAAGGAAGGAGUCCAAUUCAUCACUUCUGGAUUACUGGGACAUUGACAGACAUUGUUCCUAUUGCAUGGUAUAGGGAGUUCAACCUUGUCUUGGAUUGAAUCCAAGCUAGACAGCUGGGAUGAAAGUCUCCUUUAUCUAAUCACUCUAAGAGUCACAAAUGAAAUAAACUUGGACAAUCUCAGUUACAACACAAGUAGAGGGUGUGAAGAUGAAGAGUGUAAUAAUGGAAAUAUUACUCUGAAGCAAUGCCAAUGCUCUCCUGGACCUAGAAUCAAAAUAACUGUCAGGGAAACAAAGAAAGAAUUGUAUGUAUAUGACGUUGUUUACA